rnacentral:rRNA from 1 species
UACAGAGGGUGCAAGCGUUAAUCGGAAUUACUGGGCGUAAAGCGCACGUAGGCGGUUUUUUAAGUCAGAUGUGAAAGCCCCGGGCUCAACCUGGGAAUUGCAUUUGAAACUGGGAAACUAGAGUGUGUGAGAGGGGGGUAGAAUUCCAAGUGUAGCGGUGAAAUGCGUAGAGAUUUGGAGGAAUACCAGUGGCGAAGGCGGCCCCCUGGCACAACACUGA